UACGUAGGGUGCGAGCGUUGUCCGGAAUUAUUGGGCGUAAAGAGCUCGUAGGCGGUUUGUUGCGUCGGCCGUGAAAACCUGCAGCUUAACUGUGGGCCUGCGGCCGAUACGGGCAGACUAGAGGUAUGCAGGGGAGAACGGAAUUCCUGGUGUAGCGGUGAAAUGCGCAGAUAUCAGGAGGAACACCGGUGGCGAAGGCGGUUCUCUGGGAAUGACCUGACGCUGAGGAGCGAAAGUGUGGGGAGCGAACAGG
rnacentral:rRNA from 1 species